UCAUUUCCGUUAGCGCGGUUAUCCACAAUUCAUUCUCUCAACCACGUUCCAUCCCCGAUGGCCAGCACCGCAACUCAGUAUCUCCAAAUCGCCGGCGCCGGCGCCGCUUCGAAUCACCGGAGAACCUCCAUUUCGUGCACGAAGAAAUCGAAUCCUUCGGCAUUCAAGGAAACGAAGCAAGGCUUCGUGGACUACGACCGAGGUCAGCACGAGGUCGCCACCAAAAUCACCGGCAUCCGCAAGGACGACAUCGCCGCCCGCUACCGCCUCCGCGUCGCCGGAAACCGCUUCCAGAAGGACUGGACGGUGUCCGAGGUCGUCGACUUGGUCCUAUCGCUCGACAUCUCCGACGACGUCGACGGUCUACUCAACCGCUGGAUAGGCCGCUUCGCACGCAAGAAUUUCCCCUUCCUCAUCAAGGAGUUGACGCAGCGAGGGUCCGUUGAACACUGUAACCUCGUGUUCCGGUGGAUGAAGAACCAGCGAAAUUACUGUGCGCGCACGGAUAUAUACAACAUGAUGAUUAGGUUGCACGCUCGGCACAAUCGAACGGACCAGGCGCGUGGAUUGUUUUUCGAGAUGCAAGAGUGGAGGUGUAAACCUGAUGUUGAGACUUACAAUGCUCUUAUCAAUGCGCAUGGUAGAGCUGGACAAUGGCGUUGGGCCAUGAAUAUCAUGGAUGACAUGCUGCGUGCAGCUAUUCCGCCAAGUCGGUCAACUUAUAACAACUUGAUAAAUGCUUGUGGAUCUAGUGGGAAUUGGAAAGAAGCACUCAAUGUUUGCAAGAAAAUGACAGACAAUGGUGUUGGGCCUGAUCUUGUUACUCACAAUAUUAUACUAUCUGCAUUUAAAAGUGGGGCUCAGUAUUCAAAAGCUCUGUCUUAUUUUGAACUAAUGAAGGGAACUCAUAUCCGUCCUGACACAACUACACUUAAUAUUGUUAUUCAUUGUCUAGUAAAGCUUCGACAAUAUGACAAAGCUAUUGAUAUUUUUAAUUCCAUGAGGGAGAAGAAGUCAGAAUGCACCCCUGAUGUCGUUACAUUCACUAGUAUCAUUCACUUGUAUUCUGUGUGUGGACAAGUUGAAAGCUGUGAGGCUGCAUUCAAUAUGAUUCUUGGAGAAGGGCUGAAACCAAAUAUAGUCUCCUAUAAUGCACUAAUAGGUGCAUAUGCUGCUCAUGGGAUGGACAAUGAAGCACUUUUGGUUUUCAAUGAAAUAAAGCAAAAUGGUAUCCGCCCUGAUAUUGUGUCUUAUACUUCUCUCCUUAAUGCUUAUGGAAGAUCACAAAAGCCCCAGAAGGCAAGGAAAAUAUUUGAUAUGAUAAAGAAAAACAAGUUGAAGCCAAACAUUGUCAGUUACAAUGCACUGAUUGAUGCUUAUGGAUCUAAUGGUUUGCUGGCAGAUGCAAUUGAAAUCUUGCGAGAAAUGGAACAAGAUGGAAUUCAGCCAAAUGUUGUCUCAAUAUGCACCCUCUUGGCUGCCUGUGGACGAUGCAGUCGGAAGGUGAAGAUUGACACAGUGCUAACAGCAGCUGAGAUGCGGGGAAUUAAAUUGAACACAGUUGCAUAUAAUUCAGCUAUAGGAAGCUGUAUGAAUGUAGGGGAAUAUGACAAAGCUAUAAGCUUGUAUAAAUCUAUGAGGAAGAAAAAAGUUAAAACUGAUUCUGUUACUUACACUGUGUUGAUAAGUGGUUGUUGUAAGAUGUCAAAAUAUGGUGAAGCCCUAUCUUUUAUGGAAGAAAUGAUGCAUCUAAAACUUCCUUUGUCCAAAGAGGUCUACUCAUCUGUCAUAUGUGCCUAUAGCAAACUGGGCCAAAUUGUAGAAGCAGAGUCUACAUUCAACCUGAUGAAAUCAUCUGGUUGCUACCCUGAUGUGGUUACAUACACUGCCAUGCUUGAUGCUUACAAUACAGCUGAGAAUUGGGAGAAAGCUUAUGCACUCUUUGAAGAAAUGGAAGCAAGUGGCAUCAAGCUAGAUACUGUUGCUUGUGCAGCUCUAAUGAGAUCUUUUAAUAGAGGUGGCCAACCAAGAAGGGUUCUUGGUCUUGCUGAGAGUAUGAAAGAAAAAGAAAUUCCUUUCAGUGAUACCAUAUUUUUUGAAAUGGUAUCUGCCUGUAGCAUAUUACAAGAUUGGAGGACAGCUGUUGAUAUGAUCAAUUACAUAGAGCCCUCACUUCCUGUAAUAUCAUCCGGAUGUUUGAAUCAGUUCCUGCAUUCUUUAGGAAGAAGUGGAAAGAUUGAAACUAUGUUGAAGUUAUUCUUCAAAAUGUUGGCAUCAGGUGCUGAUGUUAACUUAAGCACUUACUCUAUUUUAUUGAAGAAUCUUUUAUCAUCCGGAAAUUGGAGGAAAUAUUUAGAGGUAUUACAAUGGAUGGAGGAUAAUUUCAUUUUUUUGUGUGUAUUUUAUCAUAUUGUAAUAAACAUGGAAAAUCACACAAAUUGUGAUGCAGGUAUUACAAUGGAUGGAGGAUGCAGGAAUUCAUCCAUCAACUGAAAUGUACCAUGAUAUAUCCUCCUUUUCGCAAAAAUGCUGUGGGGAUGAAAAUGCUGCUGUCAUAAAAGAAAGACUUGAAUCCUUGAAAAGAAAAUUCGGGGAUCAAAUUUCUACAGGCCAACCUUGUGAAUCUCCUGUUCUUAGUUGACCAUUGUGACGGAAUCAUUUUUUUUCUUUCACUUAGCCGUAACACACUGAUCAGACUGCUAUGGGAGUUCUGCCUGUGAGAUUUUGUGAAGAUUGAAGGUAGAACUCAAUUUAUUGAAUCAUACGUUACUACUGUACAAAUAUUAAUUUUCAUGUUACGCCUGCAAUUUCUAAAUAAUCUCGUGUUUGGCGCUUUUCCUUUGGGAAUUGAUUUUUGCACACUCCUGUCUGAUCUUCUUUCUCAUUUAUUUAUUUUCAUUUUAUUUUAUUUUUUGGUUUUUCUUUUUGAAAGAAUACCCUUGAUGGAAACAUAUUUUCAUUGAGUACUACUUGACACAACAGAAAUAUGUUUUCGUUGUGUUUUAACUGUUU